UACGUAGGUGGCAAGCGUUGUCCGGAUUUACUGGGCGUAAAGGGCGUGCAGGCGGUUUGUUAAGUGCAGGGUGAAAGCUCCCGGCUCAACUGGGAGAGGUCCUUGCAUACUGGCGAACUCGAGGGAGGCAGAGGAAAGUGGAAUUGCCGGUGUAGUGGUGAAAUGCGUAGAGAUCGGCAGGAACACCCAGGGGGAAACCAGUCGACUGGGCAUCUACUGACGCUGAGGUGCGAGAGCGUGGGGAGCGAACCGG
rnacentral:rRNA from 1 species